rnacentral:lncRNA from 1 species
CUGCUCUCUGCUCUCCUCGCUGCCCUUUCCGGCCGCCUUCUCCGGCUUCUCCCGGGUCUCCCGCGCGGCUCGUCCCCGCGGCCCUUCCUCCUCCCUCUUCUCCUCCCCGCAAUUCCCGCUCUUCCCAGGCCCCUCCCCCGGCCGUUCUCCUCACCAGCGGCAACCCCGGGGCGGCUGAGUCAGGCUGGCCGCCCUCCUUCCGUGCAGCCUUCGGAGCAGAGGCCUGCUCAUGGGGCCUCCCCACCCAUGCUGGGGGUUAUUCGUUCCUGUCACCAGCGCUGAGAAAAGCCAGGCCGACACCCCCAAUCCAGCGUGAAACUCCCUCCUCCCGGGUUUGAGCUGUCCGCAGAGGGCCAGACUAGGCUAGCCAGGAAAUGCGACCGAGGGGCUGGCUGCGGGGGCUCUGCGCAGAGCGGGGCGUCUUCUGUUUGGGUAUUUCCUCCUAGAACCUUAUGACGCUUGACAACAGCAGGCAUUCAAUAAAUGCACAUCAACGAGGAGCAUGUAACAAUAGAAGAUACACAAGUAUUAGCAGCACAGGGCUCUAGUGAGGAGGAAGGGAGCAAAGUUCAGAAGCUGUUGCGCCCCGUAUUAAGUAGGAUGCGUCUGAGAAGACUGAAUAAAACCUCAGUUAAUGAAGUGGAAAGGGCCCAGUUUGACGAGGAUAAGAUGGCUGGAGAACCUCUUGUGGAAGGAGGAAGCCCUCCCGGGUGUCUGAGCUGUCUAUCUUGAAAGGCCAGGUGGUUUCUUGAAGAGAAUGGGGUUUGGGAGUCAGGCUCCCAGGUCCAGGCCUAGCUCCAGGUGUGAUCUAGCUGUGUGAUCCUGGGAAAGUCUCUUGGUCUCAGGCGGUGGUUGAAUUAAAUGACCUUUAAUUACACUCCCCGUUUUAUAAAUCAGUGACUCUUCCUACUCCUAUCUCUUGCCUUUUCUAAUGCUUUAGAGGGAAAGGAAAAAGACGCGGUAGGAGACUAGAAAAGGGAGGCAAUACUUGUAACCUGCUUAGAUAAAAGAGACAAGGCCCAAAAGCAGGAAGGAGUUCCACAUUACUAAUUAUUCCAGCCCACAGAUUUCUCUGUUGAAUUUCCAUAGC